GACGAACGCUGGCGGCGUGCUUAACACAUGCAAGUCGAACGGAAAGGCCUCUUUCGGGGGGUACUCGAGUGGCGAACGGGUGAGUAACACGUGAGUAACCUGCCCUUGACUUUGGGGUAACUUCCGGAAACUGGGGCUAAUACCGGAUAGGAGCUCCUGCUGCAUGGUGGGGGUUGGAAAGUUUCGGCGGUUGGGGAUGGACUCGCGGCUUAUCAGCUUGUUGGUGGGGUAGUGGCUUACCAAGGCUUUGACGGGUAGCCGGCCUGAGAGGGUGACCGGCGACAUUGGGACUGAGAUACGGCCCAGACUCCUACGGGAGGCAGCAGUGGGGAAUAUUGCACAAUGGGUGGAAGCCUGAUGCAGCAACGCCGUGUGCGGGAUGACGGCCUUCGGGUUGUAAACCGCUUUCGCUCAUGACGAAGCUUUGUGUGACGGUAGUGGGUAAAGAAGCACCGGCUAACUACGUG
rnacentral:rRNA from 1 species